UGCCAAUGAUGUGAAUUUAUAUUUGCUUUUUGAUUUCAAAAAUGAAAAUAUAUUACCAGUUUACCGCCAAGAUCUGAACUGAGGCA